AGCAACCCAGGAAAAGCUUAAGCCUUGACUUGGAGAAAAAAACCACCGUCCUACCAGUGGGAGUCCCAUCAACAGCAGUGUGCUGGGUGAGAUGGACUCACCAUGCCUUAUGUAAUUGAUGGCAGGGCUGGAUUUACACAGCGAUGCAGUAGGAGGCAGUGUGCUGAGCACCCUGUUGAUAUCCCAGGCAGGCUGGGUGCCACGGGCUGCCUGAGGGCAUAAAUACCCGAGGAACAAUUCUUGUCAAUGGUUUGCAUUCAGGUCUAUGAUUGGAUAUAUCCAUCGGUACAUGACGGGCAUUGAUUGGAGCUUUCUUUUCUUUUCAUGUAUUGUCUGCUUCUCUUGUUAGGACUGGUGGUCUACGGAAAAGAAAUCUGUGGCAGUAAUCAAAGGAGAGCUUGUCUCCUGAGCUUCCAUAAUUGGGAGAUGCAAGUUUGCGCCGUUCAUUAACCUAGAGAUGAGUGAUGCCAAACGGGAUCCUGGAGACUCUUGAAGCAAGGACGCAGGGGAAAGAAAAAAAAAAAAAGCAACAAACCCACCAUGUUCUGGAGCAGUUUCCAGCGUGUGCCGUCCCCGGGGAUUUGCUCAUGGAUUGUUGGGAGCUGCUUCCAGUGCCAGGCCCUGCGGUGGCAUUUAUUAAAAGAUACCUUCACUGCCAUUCGCCUUUUUUUUAUCAUCGCCGUGGAUUUAAUUGAAAUGAUGCGUCCCUCUCUCCUACAAUAUCAUGUUGUUAUGACACACGGUGUGCAGCUGUUCUCUCUGAUGCAAACAGGAAGUUUGGGAAUUAAAAAUGCUUUUCAAAUGGAAGUGUGCGUAACCUCACAUCUCAUUUUCCUCCAAAAGGGUGCACAUUUAUUUAUCUACCCACCUCUUCUCUGAAAAUGACUGAAAGGAGAAGCAUUUCUCAUCUUUUUGUUAGUCCUAAUGAAUGCCUU
rnacentral:lncRNA from 1 species